rnacentral:rRNA from 1 species
UACAGAGGGGGCGAGCGUUGUUCGGAAUUACUGGGCGUAAAGGGCGCGUAGGCGGCCUGUUAAGUCGAACGUGAAAUCCCCGGGCUCAACCCGGGAACUGCGUCCGAUACUGGCAGGCUUGAAUCCGGGAGAGGGAUGCGGAAUUCCAGGUGUAGCGGUGAAAUGCGUAGAUAUCUGGAGGAAUACCGGUGGCGAAGGCGGCAUCCUGGACCGGCAUUGACGCUGAGACACGAAAGCGUGGGGAGCAAACAGG